GACGGAACCAGCCAUGCCGCGUGCAGGAAGACGGCGUUCUGCGUUGUAAACUGCUUUUAUACGGGAAGAAAAGGCCCAUGCGUGGGACAUUGCCGGUACCGUAUGAAUAAGCACCGGCUAACUCCGUGCCAGCAGCCGCGGUAAUACGGAGGGUGCGAGCGUUGUCCGGAUUUAUUGGGUUUAAAGGGUGCGUAGGCGGCCAUUUAAGUCAGCGGUGAAAGUCUGUGGCUCAACCAUGGAACUGCCGUUGAUACUGGGUGGCUUGAGUGUUGGUGGGGUACAUGGAAUUUAUGGUGUAGCGGUGAAAUGCAUAGAUACCAUAAGGAACACCGAUAGCGAAGGCAUUGUACUUACCAACAACUGACGCUGAGGCACGAAAGCGCGGGUAUCGAACAGGAUUAGAUACCCUGGUAGUCCGCGCCGUAAACGAUGAUCACUCGCUGUCAUGCCUAUAUCGUGUGGUGGCCAAGCNNAANCGUUAAGUGAUCCACCUGGGGAGUACGCCCGCAAGGGU
rnacentral:rRNA from 1 species